UACAGAGGUCUCAAGCGUUGUUCGGAUUCAUUGGGCGUAAAGGGUGCGUAGGCGACGUGGUAAGUCGGAUGUGAAAUCUCGGAGCUUAACUCCGAAACUGCAUUCGAUACUGCCGUGCUUGAGGACUGGAGAGGAGACUGGAAUUUACGGUGUAGCGGUGAAAUGCGUAGAUAUCGUAAGGAAGACCAGUGGCGAAGGCGGGUCUCUGGACAGUUCCUGACGCUGAGGCACGAAGGCCAGGGGAGCAAACGGG
rnacentral:rRNA from 1 species